AUGGCUUGUACCAAGCAGACUGCCCGAAAAUCCACGGAUUGUAAAGCACCCAGGAAACAACUGGCAACAAAAGCCACUAGCAAGAGUGCGCGCCUUCUACUGGAGGGGUGAAAAAACCUAACCUCAUCGUUACAGACCUGGUACUGUGGCACUCCGUGAAAUCAGGCGCUAUUCACUGAACUUAUGAUUUGCAAGCUCCUCUUCCAGCCUCUGAUGCAAGAAAUUGCUCAGGACUUCAAAACAGAUCUGUACUUCCAGGGUGCAGCUAUUGAUGCUUUGCAGGAAGUAAGUGAGGCCUAUCUGGUUGGCCUUUUUGAAGAUUCCAACCUGUGUGUUAUCCAUGCCAAACGUGUAACAAUUAUGCCAAAAGAUAUCCAGCUGGCACGCCGCAUACGCAGAGAACGUGCUUAA
rnacentral:lncRNA from 1 species